rnacentral:lncRNA from 1 species
UUUAUAGAGGAAAUGGCAAGGAGAGUGUGAAAUGAUCCGUGUGCAUGGCAUGUGAAGCUUCAUUGCAUGGGCUUGCAUGAUCAUGCACAAGGCCCAAAAACUUACGGUUUACUUGAGACAGCAUCAGCCAAAUGAAUUUGGACGUGUGACUUUGCAAGGCAAUUGCUUAUGCACCAAGAUUUCAAGUGAAUUCCUCAUUUGUACCUAAACAAACAUCUCUUCGAAAAUGCCAUUUAGAAAAUCCAAACAUAGGCAUAGGGG